CGGUUCCAGGCAUCUGUGUGCUAGGUCCCAUACUCAUCAACAGCGUACCCAAAAUGUGUAAGCUUUGGUCUUCAAGUGCUGGCAGUUUAACAUUUCAUUGAUGAGGUGCAGCUGACAGCCAGCUUGCAACCACAAGUAUGGCCACCAUGAAGUCAAAGGAGAACUGAGAGAAGAACCAAGAAACAGACCAGGAACCCUGACCGAACUGCUCUGAAAAGUCGCUGCUUCUGGACUCCAGUUCCAAUGGAAGACUCUGAGGAGGACUUAGACAAGGCAAACCCACCAGAUGAAGGAAGGCUGAAUCCCAGAGUUUCACUGCUUGGAGAAAAACAGCUCAAGAGAGCUGCUUGACCAAGAACACCUGCAUUGAACCUCGUAUGAGAAAGAAAUAAAA